UAAUUACUGAUACAUGUCGUGUCGUAAAUAAUAAGUAUUUCCUCACAGGACACUUACGAGGGAAAGACAGGAUAAAUAAAAUUGAUGAAAAAAGCAUUUGAUGAUUGAUUGACUACAGUUAUAUCGACUGUCACCGGAAAGACGUGGAAUUAUGCAUCCCAGUUUAAACGAGCACGACAAAUAACCAUUGGAGAUAGUUUUAUUUAAAAACCGUAUUUGUAUUUUAGUUAGAGAAUUUUACCUCUGCAUUUUCAUUCUGAAGGAUUCACUUGAACUUCAAUUGAACAGUGGAAAAUGAAGAGCUGCAGGUCAGCACCUAUGGCCUGAUCAGUCAGUGCUGAAUGCGUUGACGAAACAUUUCCACUGAUGAAAUGCUAAUCUAUCAAUCGAAGUGAGAAUUAUCAUCAAUAUUUUAUCAAGCCGUAGAAAUCCCACGAGACAGAACGUUUUCUUUCAUUAACAGCAACAAUAUUGAUUAAAAAAUAUAUUUUAUGGACAAAUUUAACAGUAAUAAAUUAAACAGUAAUCUUCAGAAGAGGAUAUUAAAGACAGUUUCGGGGAGAAA